GUGACCCUUUUCUUUUGUGUCAUAAAAUUUGUUCCCACCAGCCUGCCAUGAUCCCUGUAGCUCCUUCAAAAGGUAAGUGACAAGUGCAAGCAAUUGUUGGAGGGAAUUCUCAUGAGCCAUUAUGGUGUCCAGACCUCCUCAAAGAACAUCUCACUGUUCAUUGGAUAGGCUGCGUUUGCAAAAGACACUUGCUCUCUUCCUGGUCAGGUGAAUUCAGCUCAAUGCCUCCGCCGCCCCCUUGCAGGUUGUAGCCCACUAGGAUUGGACAAUACCUGUGUCCUGUUGCUGGCCUGGCCAUCGAGCAGAGGGGAACUCUGGUCUUUGAGGUUCCAUCUGGGUGUCAUGGCUAACAGCCAGUUUUUAAGAACGGGAGAAAGACAAAUGUGACUUAUGGGCAGCACAUUUGAUGUCAUCCUCUGUGGCAAGUCAUGGUGGUGCCUGAAACAGAAUUUAAAAUGCUAUCCCAUUUCUACUGUUUACAUAAUUCCUGCAUAGGCUUCACUGAAAUGCACAAGUUAUGUAGCCCAAAUUCGUUUCAGUGAGACUUGUGCAAGAAAAUUUCCCAGGGAUUUGUGUUCCAUGUUAAAUAGUGGGAUGUGAAUUCUCUUUCAGGUAGCAAAAUGACUUGGGACUGCUAAUAACAUUUGCUGUAUCCCAUCUUCUAGGCUGGUACAAUUCGGUUCCCUGCAGACAUCAUUUGCACUUUUAUUCAUAUUAAAAUGUACAAGCUGUGUUUUGGCUUUAAGGGGCUCUAAAGCAAUGCACGACGAGUAUAAAAUGAAUACACAAAUUUUAAAAGCAAGAAAUGUGCUAAAACAUUCAGCAGCACAAAAAGCAAAAGGAGAGUUCAUUCAGCGAGCGGAGCCAAAGAGUGAAACUGUGAGUAGGUGUGUAAAUCGGAGCUUAUGUCUAUGGUUUAUCUCUGAAGCUCAUAGUAGAAGUAUAUAGAUUGAUUUGACAUAAAUAGGACAUGAGAUUCUGCAUUGUGAACCUUGCUUGAUCUUGGUAGAAGUCAGAUACCAGCCUCAACUCCAAACACAUCCUGAAGGCAUUCAGGCAUAUCCUGAGUUCCUCACACUUUGCAUAAAGGUCAAUGCAUGUAAAUAAAGUUGCUAAGUAUGCUGUAUUCAGACUCCCAAAUGGUGAGGCAGACAACAGGCAAAAGGUAGCCAGUUCAGGUCACUAGGAUGACUUUCACUCAAAACACUGAACUUGCAAGAUGGGCGAAGCAGGCAAGAAAUUCUGGGAUAAAUUCAAAAGCACAAUAAAGCCAGCUGUUCAUCUCAAGCCCCCCCCUCCACUGGCAUGCCUUGACCAGAAGGGUAUAAAGCAGGGGUGCCCAAACUUUUUUUCAAAGAGGGCCAGAUUUGAUGAAGUGAACACGCGUGAGGGCCGACCAAAGUUGUUGAACUUUUUUAGGAUUGAAGUUGCUUUUUGGGGGAUUUUACUCCAGGAAAUAAACUGCCACAGGGGCCGGAUUAGGUCCCCAAAACGGACUUUGGACAUGCCUGGAAGGAAUCCUAAAAUUUGUAAUCAGUGGCUCUCCUAGCUCCAACGAUGACCUUCAUUCAGAGCUCACAAGGACACACAUAUGCUUAGAAACAGGUAUACUCUCCUUCCCUCCACCUCCAUUUCUUAAAUUAGUGCUCACUUCUGUGGAAUUUUGAGAACGAGUAGGGAUUAUUCCACUCUUUAGAUCAAGGUGUGUAUGUAUGGUAGGAUUUGCUGCCAUCUUAAACUGUAAUUUCACUGUCUGAAACAAGCUUUCUUAGUCAACGUGUCAAUAUACAGCUGUUUGCUUGCCUCUAAAAAUUACUGGGUCACCAGUCUGGCAUUUAAGAGGUCUUCAGGAUUACCAGUCCAGAAUAAACUACUGGAUAUCAGGUGUUUUAUUUAGACAAACACAUAUUCACAAAUGGGCACACGUUGUAACUCCAGCCAAAGAUCUCAAACCUCUCAUUGUGUGUGUGAAUACAUGUCUGUGCUGGACAUGCAUGUUGGUUCAGAUACCUGCUGUAACAAGACUAAUCAGAGGGAGCAAAUCAACCCACUAUUGAAGGCCUAGUGAAACAAUCCACACACACAAGGUAAAAUCGUGCACCGCCUCUAGAUGGUUCUAGAGGACCAAUCACAUCAGCAUACACCCGCUGAAAUGCUCUGUCGACCUUCUUGGUCUUAGUCACCUUCCUGGUGCUCACACUGGUCAUGGUCGCCCUGCAAGAGAGAUUUCGUUAGAAACAGAAGAAUUACAUUUCAUGUAAUCACUUUGAUCAAAAGUCAACAAAUACAGUCCAUCUUUCUCUUUGGCAGUAAGAAACAGUUCUCCAUCUUUGUAGAUCUUGCAGCUUUUAGCAUCAUAGGACAGUUUCAGUCCUUUCUUUGCAAUCUGCGACACGCUCAGCAGAUUAAAUCUCAGUUCUGGAACCAGGUAAACAUCACUUAUAGUCAAGUUCAGACUUUCAAGAUACACAGUCCCAAUUCCAGUUGCUUCCAGCUCCUGACCGUUGGCCUGUUUCACAGUGAAGCUUUGCUUCUUCAACGUCGAAAACAGUCCUCUGUGCGGGCACAUAUGAACCGUUGCGCCCGUGUCAAUUAUGAACGAGUUCCCAACAUCUGGCGUGGUUCCUUUCGCCAUCAUAGCCUUUGCAGGUUUCACCUGGCACUUGGUACGGCUUUUGCCUGACGCCUGAGGCUUCGUAGAGCUGCUCUUUGCUCCUCUUGACUGGCGCGGCUUCUUACAGUUUCGCUGUAGAUGCCCAGUCUGUCCACAAUUGUAGCAUCGGACAGCACUCAAUGCUACACCAUGCUCUCCAGUAGCAUCAGCAGUGGGGAAUUAGAACUCUGUUCUUCCCUCCCCUGUCUUUUCUUCCAGUGCAGCAAGUCUGUCGUGUUCAUUCAGGACCACAGCACAAACUCUCUCCGCGGUCAGCUGCGCGGCCGGUAGGGAACCAAGCUGACUGGCAACAACCUUGUAGGUGCGGCUAAGGCUGUUUAUCAUCAUGAAGCAAAACACUUCCUCCUGAAGACGAAAAUUGCGUUCCACCAUCUGUUGACGCAGAAACUUCAUUUCUGUCAGGUGCGCUUGAACAUCUCCAUCAGGCGCAAGUCUCAGAUUGGUCAAUUUCUCAAAAUACAGCAACGCUGAAGAACCAGCAUCUCUCUGAUGCGUUGUACGCAGCGUGUCCCAUACCUCUUUCGCAUUUUCUAAAUGCUGAACAUGCACCAACUGAUCAUCUGAGACACACAGAAUUAUAGCAGUCCUGGCCCUUACAUUCUGUGACUCCCAACCUCUGGUUGGUGCUGCAGGGAUGGGGUUUUCGAUUACAUCAAAAAGCCUCUGAUUCUGCAGCAGGGCCUUCAUCUUUACAGACCAAGAUGAAUAAUUGUCAUUGGUUAAGGGAGGUGGGCAAGGCAAACCUCCCCCCUUUCUUGGCAUCCAUCUUGAAGCCAAGCCUCCAGCUCACAAUGUCAAACAAACUGUAAAAUCCAACAGUUGUUUGUUUCUUUUCUCACGCAGCAAACUGCAAAUUGUUUACGCUCUUUGCACCUGGCAGCUAAACUCAGGCUGCUAUUGAAAAGUCCCUUCCAAGAGCUCGUAAACCUUGUAGCCAAAACAUUCUCUGGUUUUGUUUCGCUUCCCAGGCUUACACUCAGAGUCCAGCCCCUUGCCAGUAACUUUCCAGGACCGUUGCCUAGCAACAAUGCAUUUCAAUGGGACUCCUUAUCUACCACAAAAAUUUGUGGAAUGCAGGCUUCAGCCUUCAAGCUGCAGGCCUCUUCCUCUCGGAGCUUUUGUUUUCUUUGAAACGCAGCUCCGUGAACCAGGGAAUUAAUCUUCCUGCGUUCACACUUUUAGCCCGAAAUGCAGCAUACCUUGAACUUUGUUGCUCUGGAAAACACCUCUUCUUUCCACCAGCUGUCUGUGGAGCCUCUGGCUUCUUUCAGACGCUUCUAUUCCUCCUUAGGAGCAGUGGAGGACAAUCCACCAGCCUCUCAUGCAGAUGUCCGAUGAAUCGCAACCAUCCUCUGCUACCACUGUUGGAAUUCUGCAUGGGUCAGAGGAAUGUGCCACAGCGUAGGCACCGGCAGAUAUUCCUGUCGACCUCCCCGCGUCUCCACUCUGCUGAUAAGCAGGCGAGGUCCAGCGAUUCUUCUCAGAUGUAUGAGAGGAACACACCGUUCUUCCUCUCUCCCUUUGGUGUCCCCAGGGAGGGAAAGAAGCAGACAGAAAACUAUUUACAUCAUUUAUUUCUGCCUCUUACAUCAGUACAGAGAAUCAUGUCUGCACUCAACAACAGCAAGACGAAACUCCUCCCAAGUACAUCCAGUACGGGUCAUAUGACACACACACACUGAGCUAACAUCCGGUGCUCAGUACAGAAUGGACUGCCCCUUUGUUCCCAUGGCAACAGUCACAAACAUCCUGUCUGGCUUUCCAGCCACAAGCAGCUGGCUGAGCUGCUAGAGCCUUUGCUUGCUGCAGCAUUGGUGCUUUAUAGUAACAUCUUCACCAUCUUCUUAAAGGUUUGCAGGAAAAGGGCUAGACAAGUCUCCCAAGUUUCAGAGUUGGUAUGCUCACUGGGGGUGGGCAAGCAAGAUCAUGGGGGAGUAGAAUCUGUUGGGCGUAGUUUAUUUUUUCAUUUAUAUAUACUAUAGUGGGUAACUUUCCAUCGCGUUAUAGAUGAAAACCAGCAACUGUGUAAACAAUACACCUCUCCACUAGCGCGUUGUAGA